GCCCAUUCCCCAUGGCAUAUGACUGGAGGCCUGCCAGCUGAGGAGAUAAAUCGGGGGAGAAUCGCCCCAGGACAAUGAAGAGAGAGUCUAAAAGUCCUAGACCCUUCAGAAACCGCAGGACCAAGUUUGAAGCCGACUGCAACCGCCAGGUCCCAUGCAACUCGCUGGGAUUUCCGCUGAAUCGCAGUAGAGAUGCAGAGAAUAUGGCUUUCCUUCUAGAGCUGCUGCAUACUUCAUUCGAAAAUAAAUCUCCCUGGGUUCUCUAA